ensembl:lncRNA
GACCCCAAAUCGCCCCAUGGGACCCCAAAAGGGACCCCAAAAGGGACCCCAAAGUGACCCCAAAUCCCACACGGGGACCCCAAAAAUGGCAUCUGGGACCCCAAAAAUGACAUCUGGGACCCCAAAAGGGACCCCAAACAGACCCAAAAAUCCCACACGGGGACCCAAAAUCCCACACGGGGACCCCAAAUCCCACACGGGGACCCCAAAUGCCCCCAUGAGACCCCAAAAGGGACCCCAAAAGGGACCCCAAAAGGGACCCCAAAGUGACCCCAAAUCCCACACGGGGACCCCAAAAAUGGCGGUGGGGACCCCAAAUGCCCCCAUGGGACCCCAAAAGGGACCCCAAAAGGGACCCCAAAGUGACCCCAAAUCCCACACGGGGACCCCAAAAAUGGCAUCUGGGACCCCAAAUGCCCCCAUGAGACCCCAAAGGGGACCCCAAAAGGGACCCCAAAUCCCACACGGGGACCCCAAAAAUGGCGGCGGGGACCCCAAAUGCCCCCAUGAGACCCCAAAAGGGACCCCAAAAGGGACCCCAAAUGCCACACGGGGACCCCAAAAAUGGCGGCGGGGACCCCAAAUGCCCCCAUGGGACCCCAAAAAUCCCACAUGGGGACCCCAAAAAUGGCGGAAGGGACCCCAAAUGCGCCCAUGAGACCCCAAAAGGACCCCAAAAGUGCCCCCAGAUGCCCCCAUGGGACCCCAAAACUGACAUCUGGGACCCCAAAUGCCCCCAUGGGACCCCAAAAUCCCACACGGGGACCCAAAAUCCCACACGGGGACCCCAAAAUCCCACACGGGGACCCCAAAUGCCCCCAUGAGACGCCAAAAG